rnacentral:lncRNA from 1 species
GUGGUAUUUUGGUGUUUUGAUUUCCAGAAAUUUUCCAUUUUUUGAUUUGUGUUUUGGUGUUCAUAAUUGAAAGAUUUCUCUCCUAUGUUCACUGUUUCGAAAUUAUGGUGUUUUGGUGUUCAGAAGUUGUGGUAUUCAUAAGCUCUCUUCUCUGUUCACUGUUCCGGCGACUCGCACCGGCGGCAUUCACUAUUCCGGCUGCUCGCCCACCACCGGCAACAACAAAUGGAAGAGGACUGUUAACAAUGCUU